ACUACGGGUGGCAGCAGUGGGGAAUAUUGGGCAAUGGAGGAAACUCUGACCCAGCAACGCCGCGUGAAUGAUGAAGGUCUUCGGAUUGUAAAGUUCUUUUCGAAGGGAAGAAGAAAGUGACGGUACCUUAGGAAUAAGCCUCGGCUAACUACGGGCCAGCAGCCGCGGGAAUACGUAGGAGGCGAGCGUGAUCCGGAUUGACUGGGCGUAAAGGGUGCGGAGGGGGUGUGGCAAGUUAGUAGCGUAACUCCCAGGCUCAACCUUGGAACUCCUCCGUAAACUGUUGGACUUGAGUGCAGGAGGGGCAACCGGAAUUCCUAGUGUAGCGGUGGAAUGCGUAGAUAUUAGGAGGAACACCAGUGGCGAAGGCGGCUUGCUAGACUGUAACUGACACUGAGGCACGAAAGCGUGGGGAGCAAACAGGAUUAGAUACCCCAGUAGUC
rnacentral:rRNA from 1 species